UCUUUCCCAACUUUCUUCUCUGUCCUCCCCUAUAGUAUUUUCCCAAAACCGCGUCGACUCUCUCCUCCAUGGCCGCCCUCUUCGGCAUCAAGUCCGACUUCUCCCCCCUCGAGCCGAUUACCCUACCGCUCAGCACCUCCAAGCACUACAACAUCACUGCCGGCCAGGCGGUCCGCGUCCCCAACAUCUGCAGCUGUGCCAUGGCAGUGGAUCCCGCUCCCUUGCAGCUGCGACCAAGGGGAAGCCUUCCCGAUUGAACACCAUGCCCACGUUGUGGCGAUGGGCAUGGACCUAACCGGAAUCGCCGCCCAGUUUGAGACUACCCAAACGAAGCUCAUGGCUCUCAACGGCACAUCCGGCCCCACCACCCUCGAGGCAGGCCAGGUGCUCGACAUCUCCCUCCGAGUAGGGGAUCCUGAGUUUCGUAGCCAGCAGAAUGUGAACAUUGAAAAUCUACAGUCAAGUCUUUGCUUCUAGGAAGGUGUGGAUGGCUUCCUCUAUUCAUAAAGAUGAAGAAGCAGGUAACUGACAUUAUUGAGAGUCUUCCCACUGUCUUCCUGACGGACACCUCCCUGCCUGAAUAUAAUGUUUCCAAAAUAGUCUCUGCUUUCUGCUCUUCUGCAGUUCAGUUUCGUUUACUUAACCAUAGGAAACUUGUCAGUCAUGAUUAAUUGUGCCUUUUGAUGCGACAUAUAGUGCCCGUAAAAUGGCUAUGUUUCUGUGGAAGAACCUUUCAGUGAUGAUUCAACUAUAUUCCCUUACGGGUAAAACGGCACUAGAUAAAACAUUUGACAAUCAAUAAAAAUCUCAUGGUUGAAACAGUUCCCUACUGGAAAGACAUAUUUGAACUGUUGAAAGAAAAGGUAGGGACAUUCUCCAAAAUGCAAUUUCUUUUGCAAAUCCAGUGGUAAGUCAAGAACUAUAUCUUAAUAAGAUCCUUCUAUAGUUCUAUUAGUACUAGGUCCAGCAAUGGAAGGAAAAACUUAUUGGUUUUGCUAGCUAUGUUGUAAUAUUUUGAAGUCCGUUAUAUGAUUUAUCUAGGGUCUAACAAUUAGAAAAUGCAGUUACCUUAUGGAUACCCAGGAACUAGCAAAAACAUAUGCAAGUUUGCUUACUAUUAUUGUUCCUCGACAUCCACAGCAAGGACAUCAGAUAACUGAAGUAAGCUCUGGUGUAUUGUUGAUAGAUCUUUUAUCUUCCAUUGUUGGCAUGGUUUAUAGAUUGUUAUCUUGCCCAAUAAUUCUGAAGGUUAGGUGUAGAUGCACUACCCAUUGGAAGGCCAUAUUUGUCCAACAUCCCCUCCCAAGCUGAGCCUAGAAUCUUUAUCUUUCAAAACCAUGUGAGUCUACAGUUGCUGAGCCAAGCGUAGGUCAAUUUAAACCAUUGUUUCUUGGCCUUAACUGUUGAUUGGCAGGCUUGAUCUUGUUUGCCCGAGGUGGCUGGCCUGUCAUAUGUUUUAUUUUUUUGUUUUCUGUUCUACUGUUUCCCUACAACUUUUGUGCUUGUAUAAGGAAAUAGUCUAAAUGCUAGUUGUUGAUAACAUUCUCAGCAUACUUCUUUAAGGUUCACAUUCUAUUCUGCAAAUUAGCAAUAUGCAUGUAAAUUUCUGCUAAAUGGCAGGCAGGCCCUUAUGGACCACUCGGCUUAGUUUUUUCACCUAAUUUCCAAAUGAUGCUAUAACAUUUUCUAUUUUGAAACAAGUAGGGAAUUAGAUGUAAUAUUUUGAAUACUUCUUGGCAAAUUUUCUUUCUUUUGGUUAUCCAUUAUCCAUUCCCUUAUCAGAGUUCUUCUAAAUUGAGUGCUUCAGUUUCCUGUUCUAUUUUGUCCUUCUAGGCAUCUCACAACUAACACUGCCUUUGCCAAUCGUGUAUGAGCGAGAGAUUCAUGACCUACUUCUUAAAAGUGAUACAGUAAUGAGCAGAGAAAAGUCCCCAAGUAUUGAAUAAUCGGAAACUAGCUGCAUCUGUGCUAUUUGGCAUUUCUCAUUUGCAAUUAUAUUAUAGUUUUUUUCCUUUUCCUGAGAAUUGUUAGUCAAUUUCUAAUUAGAAGAGUUCCAGUUGUGAUCAGUCUUUUAAGGAUGGUUGCUAUGUGCUUUGGUUAAGGUAUUUCUUCUGUCUCUUCACCUCUUCCAUUUUUCCUUUGCAAUAGAAGCAUCGUAUUGAGUAGGAUUGAAUUGCAAUGUAGGAUAUUCCUUUAUGUGCAAUAUCACGAACAUCUCAGGUCAGCAGUCACUUUAGUUGCCAUGGGGUAGCUCUUUUUCCCCCUGAACUCGGCUAGUUCAUGCUUCAUAUUCUAGUCUUCUGAUCUCUAGGAAUGUCAGGUAAGAAAAUCUGCUAGUGUUGCGAUUGGCAGCAUGAUAACAAGCCAAUGGUGUCUACUGCCUUCAAUUUUUUUCUUUCUGACAUUUUCUUUGCACCAAUUCAUUUGGAUUUUUCAUGUUCUUGUGAUAACAAGCUCAUGUUCUAUAGAAAAUCUGGUUUUUACCAUGUUACCCAAACACUAAAACCAGGUUUUCAAAACUCUUUAAAAAAAUGGACAACCAGGUUCUGAUGAAAACCUGAAGGGGUGUAUCCAAACAAGGCCUACAUACCUACCGCUUCAAAUAUAGAAAAUUGGGAUUAAAGGGUACUUCCCCAAACGAUAUGGGUUUCUGGAUUUUUUGGGCUGCAAUUUUACUGAAAGUCAUCAAAUAAGGCUCCUUCUACUCAAAUGACCUACAAAACACAACACAAAAUAAGAACAAACCAGAUGAAGGCAAAGUGUCCUUGACAAACACAAGUAAGGCCCUUCCAGGAGCAAGAUGAAGCCAGACACUCAAGACAAUAAAUUGCUCGAAGGCCAUAUCGCAUGGGACCAAAUACCUGUCAAAAGCAUAAUACAGGAUUAAGUGGACUGGUGGAAGAGGACGAAUAUACCUCUCACAUGAUGAGCUCACAGGUGCCUGUUUCUGAGCUGCAGUAUCCUAAGAAGGUACUUUCUACGUCUGGAAAGGUACAUGUUACUGCUUUAUCCUCUUGAGUUCAGACAUUUUCUUCUUUGUACCUAUGAAGCUAGCAUGCCUAGAGGUGGAUUGCUCUUGAUCUAACCCGUAGCUGACACAUACACCAGAAAUAAAGAUUUGAAAGUUAUUCUGCAGAAUCAUGUAAGCACCAACCUUGCCCAAGUUGUCUCCAAGGUAGCCUCAAGGCAAAGGAAAAGCACCAAGGGACUGUGUUCCAUGUCAUUUUCUGAUCAAGUAAUUGUGUGCCCUUAUCAAUGUUAAGCAAUUGGCCAGUUGAAAGUGAAGAAACAUACUUCAAGGUCACUGGCGCAAUAAUUUCUAGGGCAUCCACCUGAAAACUGGACAGUUCUCUAAGAAGAUGUGCUCAGCUUUCUUACUAUUCAGCAGAGGAGUUUAUCUGGCAGCUGAAUGAGCAGUAGCUUGUUAUAUAGAACACGUUCAAAAAAUGUUAUGUUUCGCUCAGUCUUCAAACUGAGUGAAAUCAACAUCAAAUUUAUUCUAGUUUUGGAUUUGGUGUAUAGUGUUAAACAAAAUCACUAAUGAAUAUAUACUUGAUCAGGAGCUAUUCCAAGGCUGAUUCUGAAGGCUGUGGAUGUCCUCAGUCCUGGGGUUUUUACUACACAUGCCAGCCAUCUGCAGAACUCCACGGUCCACCAUGCCUUCUUAUCUCCAUGUUCUGUUUCCCUUAUUGUAAAACAAACUAAAAUGCAGUGUACUUCAUCAUUUGGGCAAUCUUAAUUGUAACGACCUUUUAGUGUGUUGGAAAAUUUCCAUUUUGUGAUUGCAGAAGUAUAGGCUGCAUUUGAAAAAACAAUGGGAAUGUAGAAUAUCUGCCACUCUUUCUAUGCAAAAUCAGCAUUUUAAAGACAGGCACAUUGAGCUCACCUUAUUACCAGGCAGUGACCCAAGCACCCUAGUCGCACUCCCCCUUCAACAAUGAGUUAGUUAAUGAGAAGUUGCAUCAGAGUAAUGGCCAUCUGUUUGAUAGGAAGCCUUUUGCAUCCAAUGGAUCAAGUCAAAAUGGAUUUUCGAUUGUGGGCCUCAAGGUAGUAUUUUAUUUAUGUAUCCUUUGUCUUGACUGAAAAUUGGAUUAUACUGUUGGACCCUAGCUGUGAUCUCUAUUUACUAUUUGGCUUACAUGGCAAAGCGUGAACAGGGAAUGAGGCUCAACUUGGUGCGUGAUUAUUAAUUUUGUAGUUAGUUUCUAUACAUGUUGGUUUAUAAACUAUAAAAUGUUUAGAA